rnacentral:lncRNA from 1 species
GGUUACGAGAAGUUUCUGAGAAGCUGAACAAAUAUAAUUUAAACAGCCACCCCCCUUUGAAUGUAUUGGAACAGGCUACUAUUAAACAGUGUGUGGUGGGACCAAAUCAUGCUGCCUUUCUUCUUGAGGAUGGUAGAGUUUGCAGGAUUGGUUUUUCAGUACAGCCAGACAGAUUGGAAUUGGGUAAACCUGAUAAUAAUGAUGGGUCAAAGUUGAACAGCAACUCGGGGGCAGGGAGGACGUCAAGGCCUGGUAGGACAAGCGACUCUCCAUGGUUUCUCUCAGGUUCUGAGACUCUAGGCAGGCUGGCAGGCAACACCUUAGGAAGCCGCUGGAGUUCUGGAGUGGGUGGAAGUGGUGGAGGAUCCUCUGGUAGGUCGUCAGCUGGAGCUCGAGAUUCCCGCCGGCAGACUCGAGUUAUUCGGACAGGACGGGAUCGAGGGUCUGGGCUUUUGGGCAGUCAGCCCCAGCCAGUUAUUCCAGCAUCUGUCAUUCCAGAGGAGCUGAUUUCACAGGCCCAAGUUGUUUUACAAGGCAAAUCCAGAAGUGUCAUUAUUCGAGAACUUCAGAGAACAAAUCUUGAUGUGAACCUUGCUGUAAAUAAUUUACUUAGCCGGGAUGAUGAAGAUGGAGAUGAUGGGGAUGAUACAGCCAGCGAAUCUUAUUUGCCUGGAGAGGAUCUUAUGUCUCUCCUUGAUGCCGACAUUCAUUCUGCCCACC